ACUCUCCACCUCCUCCCCCUGGAUCCCCUCCGCCCCGUUGCAGCAUUGCCGGCGCCGGUGGCAGCCUGAGUUCCCCACCUCGACGUCCCUCUACGUUUCGGGGAGCUAAGCAGCACGAGGAGUCACGGCGGCGGAUCCCCUCUUCGGAUCUCCAAGCCCAGCCCCAGUGUUGUCGUGGGCUGAUUGCCCUCUCCUCUCCUUCCUCCGGAUGGCAUAUCAGGUCAGGGCUAGCUCUUUCUUUGUUUUCUUGCGGUGCUUCUCCUCAUAGCUGCUGGAAGGCGUCAUUUUAGUUCAUGUUGAUUGUGGGUUUGUCCUUUUCACAUUCGUAAUUCAGUAAAAAAAAAAACUUGGCGAGCAGAGCUGAGAACCUAGUUUAGAGACAGUGAGCAGAAGCACUUUGUCUGACAUAGCAACAUUAUUCUGUAGUCUGUACUUUGUAAACAUUUCUUCAGAGUAUGUCUAGUCUGAAGUCUGAACUUGUAUCGGUGAGUCUUAUCCACUUGAUGCAUGAAAAAUGUUUGUUAAAAAAAUUCUAGUCUGAAGCCUUUGAACUACGUGAUGCAGUCUUUGUCAGCUAGUGGUGAAAUUCAUUACUGAAGUGCAUGUGACAGCAACCGCUUGAUGCUAGAUUCUCUAUUCAGAACACGCAUGCUUACGCAAGUGAGCUUGCUUUGGCAUAUAACCAAACACAGUCAAGUAGGAGUAAUUUGAUACUACUCUUUACUGGUCCGAACCAAAUAAAAUGCUACUCACACUUUACAUACCAAUACUCUUUACGGUGAAGAGUAGUCGUAGAUGGUUGGUACCCACAUACCAAUACUCUUUACGGUAUUCCUUUUCCUGUCAGAAAGCACCUGGAUGCUGCUUCGUGUUUUGUUCCGUUGUCUCCUUGGUAAUGGAAGGUCGUUUCGAAAAGAAAAACAGUUAAUACCACACUAGAACUGAACGAUAAUGAUUUAUCUUGCUAUCUCCCAUCUAGUAUUUCGAGCUUUCCUUAUGGAUGCAUUCCCUCCAUCAAUGAAGUCCAGCAACAAAAUUGAAUAUUUUUCUACAAUUUUUGCAAAUUACUGAAGAAGCAACCUUUGUUUAUUAUAAUUAAACCAGACAAUGUUUAUUCUUUAUAACCUAGAGAGUAUGUUCUGUUAUUAGUAACAGUUAUUAAAUGGGGGAAGUCCAGCACUUUUAUCCUCUUGAUUUAUGUGUUGGACUCAAAUCAACUCUUAUAUUACCCCAUCUUUUGAUCAGCUUCCUAACCUUCAGCAACAAGAGGAGGCAUUUUAUGGCAAACUACCUUUAAAAACGCACAUUAAUGGUUUCGUCAGUACAUAGGCAUCUAAUAUGUGGCCACAGAUCACCUGCCAACCAUUGAUUCUGCAGAGUACUCUUAUGUUGUUGAUAACUCUGGUUAUCUGAGAUUUGAGCUUCACGCCUUUGGAAACUGUUUUUCAGGUCAAGUCCAUGUAUCCAGCAUACUAAUCGAAGCU
rnacentral:lncRNA from 1 species